CGGCGUGCCUAACACAUGCAAGUCGCACGAGAAAGCGGGCUUCGGCCUGCGAGUACAGUGGCGCACGGGUGAGUAACACGUGAAUUAUCUACCUCCGAGUGGGGAAUAACCUAGAGAAAUCUGGGCUAAUACCGCAUAACACUUACGAGUCAAAGCAGCAAUGCGCUUGGAGAGGAGUUCGCGGCAGAUUAGUUAGUUGGCAGGGUAAUGGCCUACCAAGACGAUGAUCUGUAUCCGGCCUGAGAGGGCGCACGGACACACUGGAACUGAAACACGGUCCAGACUCCUACGGGAGGCAGCAGUGGGGAAUAUUGGACAAUGGGCGAAAGCCUGAUCCAGCCAUGCCGCGUGAGUGAUGAAGGCCUUAGGGUUGUAAAUCUCUUUCGGCGGGGACGAUAAUGACGGUACCCGCAGAAGAAGCCCCGGCUAACUUCGUGCCAGCAGCCGCGGUAAUACGAAGCGGGCUAGCGUUGCUCGGAAUCACUGGGCGUAAAGGGCGCGUAGGCGGCCAUUCAAGUCGGAGGUGAAAGCCCAGGGCUCAACCCUGGAAUUGCCUUCGAUACUGUCUGGCUAGAGACCGGAAGAGGUAAGUGGAACUGCGAGUGUAGAGGUGAAAUUCGUAGAUAUUCGCAAGAACACCAGUGGCGAAGGCGGCUUACUGGUCCGGUUCUGACGCUGAGGCGCGAAAGCGUGGGGAGCAAACAGGAUUAGAUACCCUGGUAGUCCACGCCGUAAACGAUG
rnacentral:rRNA from 1 species